rnacentral:rRNA from 1 species
CUGAGUUUAAUAAACCUAAAUUAUUAGUAGUUAUGUUCUUGAAAAUUAAUGAAGAUGGCGGUAUUUUAGUCUAUUCAGAGGAAUCUGCCCUGUAAUUGAUAUUCCACGAUUUAAAUUACUUGGAGUUUUAGCUUGCAUAUCGCUGUAGAUUGAAUAUUUUUACUGGAUUAAAAUGUUCAUGAGUUUGAGGGAAAGAAAAUCAAGUCAAGAUGUAGCUUAUAUCUGAGAAGAGGUGGAUUACAAUAGUUGUAUUUGUGGUUAGUAGUUUGAAAAGGCUACUAUAAAAUGGAUUUGAUAGUAAUUUUCUACUAAGAUUUGGAAAAUGAUUUUAGCUCUCAAAU